rnacentral:rRNA from 1 species
GACAUAGGUGGCGAACGUUAUCCGGAAUUAUUGGGCGUAAAGGAUGCGUAGAUGGUAGAGUAAGUUAUUGGUCAAUGUCAAACUCAAUUUGAUGGAAGCUGGUAAUACUGUUCUACUCGAGGACAGGAGAGGUUGAUGGAAUUCUAUGUGGAGGGGUGAAAUCCAUUGAUCUAUAGAGGAACACCAAAAAAAGGCGAAGGCAAUCAACUAUCCUGUUCCUGACAUUGAGGCAUGAAAGCGUGGGGAGCAAACCGG